GAUGAACGCUGGCGGCGUGCCUAAUACAUGCAAGUCGAGCGAACAGACGAGGAGCUUGCUCCUCUGACGUUAGCGGCGGACGGGUGAGUAACACGUGGAUAACCUACCUAUAAGACUGGGAUAACUUCGGGAAACCGGAGCUAAUACCGGAUAAUAUAUUGAACCGCAUGGUUCAAUAGUGAAAGACGGUUUUGCUAUCACUUAUAGAUGGAUCCGCGCCGCAUUAGCUAGUUGGUAAGGUAACGGCUUACCAAGGCAACGAUGCGUAGCCGACCUGAGAGGGUGAUCGGCCACACUGGAACUGAGACACGGUCCAGACUCCUACGGGAGGCAGCAGUAGGGAAUCUUCCGCAAUGGGCGAAAGCCUGACGGAGCAACGCCGCGUGAGUGAUGAAGGUCUUCGGAUCGUAAAACUCUGUUAUUAGGGAAGAACAAAUGUGUAAGUAACUAUGCACGUCUUGACGGUACCUAAUCAGAAAGCCACGGCUAGCUACGUG
rnacentral:rRNA from 1 species